UACGUAGGGGGCAAGCGUUAUUCGGAAUUAUUGGGCGUAAAGGGCGCGUAGGCGGCUAGAUGUGUCAAAGGUGAAAUCCCUCGGCUCAACUGAGGAACUGCCUUUGAAACUGUCUGGCUUGAGGCCGGGAGAGGGUAGCGGAAUUCCCAGUGUAGCGGUGAAAUGCGUAGAUAUUGGGAGGAACACCAGUGGCGAAGGCGGCUACCUGGGCCGGUUCUGACGCUGAGGCGCGAAAGCGUGGGGAGCAAACAGG
rnacentral:rRNA from 1 species